AUUCUCUCUCCCCGCCCGGCGUGUUGUUUGUUUGUGAGGAGAAGUUGGGGGGUGGGAGAGGGGCGGCCGUUCGUCCGUCCCCUGUGCGGAGUGCGCCCCGCCUCCGCCUCUCUGAGGAGGGGCCGUGAGGGCACAGCUCCGGGCGCGCAGCCAGAGCCGGCCGGCGGCACUGGGAGACUGCAGGCCCUGAGUUGGGCAGCGCGCCCAGCGCCGAGGAACUCCCGUGUAGAAGGAGCUGCGGAGCCACAGCUGCCCCACGGGACGCGGAUGAGGUAUGGAGCACUGUGAGGAAGGAGGAGAGCCCCACGGUGCCUCAGUUCCCCCAGCACUGAGCCCGUGCCCACCAGGGGGCUGCAGCCCCACACUUGCCUGCAGCCCCGCAGCUGCCUCUCAGGACGGUGGAUGAGUGGUAAAUCCAGGACCUGCCUUCGGCAAACGCCGGCCGCUCCCCGGCGCUCCCGAAGCCGCCCCGCCGGCCGCAGAGGAAGGGAAUGAGAAUCGGCCCCGCCGCCGUGGGAGAGGGGACGGGACCCCCCCGGGCAGCCCCGCGCUGGGCCGCGUAAAGUGCAUGGUUUGCUUUUAUUUUUUUUUUCUUUCUUUCAUUAAAAAAAUAAGAGGAAUAAAACUUUCUUCUUUCGUCAAGGUACGCGGGGAGGAGUGAACGACGUUUUGGUCUCUCAGCAGAUAUUGCAGGAGCCAGGCCCGGCCCUCCUUGCAAGGUGUUUUGCCAUCCAGCGGCCCCCGGCUCCUCCUGCGCCCCGGGAUAACCGCCUGCUCCGCCAUCUUGUCGGCCUCGCGCUGCCUCCAGGAGCCGCCCGUCGCCUCCUUCCAUCGCUGCCGAGCUCCGAGCUUCAAUCCGUGCUGCAGGACGGGGCGAGCGCCUUCCCACACAGCGGGCCUGGAAUGUGCCACGCUCAGAGCCAACACCACCACACCCAGCAGCAGCGCCCUGCCGGGCACCGCCGCAGCCACGGGAGGACGAGGAGGGACCCGCAGCACGCACAGACGUCCCCAAAACCUCCCGGCACGGAGCUGAGCUGCUCUUCCAACGGCCAUCUUCUCAAUCUGCUCCCGGCCCCGUGGCAAAUAUCUGCUGAGAGACGGUCGCCGCGCCGCCCCGCGUACCAUCACCACUCGCUUCACGGUUCUUUUUAACUUUUUUUUUUUUUUCCUUUUUAAUUUUUUUUUUUUUUUCAUCUUCUAUUUUAAAAGAGAAGCCGGCGAGGUGGGUUUUCUUUUCCGCCAACGAGAGAAGCUGCCCCUCAGUGCAGAGCGGAGCAGCUGGGGAGCGAAGCGCCUCGGAACCGCGCCGGGGAGCGGCCGCAUCCCGACGAGUCGCCCUCCGCUGUCACGGAGUGAUGGACCACUCAAUAUGAGGGGAUCACUGCAGCCAACUCCUGUGCCCGUUACCCCGGGGCGGCCGGAAGCACGCGGGGUAACGCAGCGUUUCCGUUUUCUCUUGGGAGGGAGCGGGGAAAAUCGAAGCAGUUUUGACUUUGACGGAGCCGUGGGAUUUGAUUCUUGGGCUGAUCCACGCGGGCGGCCGGCCCGGACGUCUCGGCUAUUUACACGAGGUUCUGGGGCGCUAUACAAGAUUUACAUUUCCGUUUGUACAGCAGAUGCUUUGAUAGAGUCGCGCUCUCAAACCGUCCCUUCCGGGGCGACAGAAAUCUGGAAGCUCCACAAACCCGGCGUUCCCCUUCCGGAUAAAAGCCUUUUGCCCGUCUCCUACAGAAUCCAAGCCAUUGAAAAAGAAAAACAAAAACAAAAACCAACCAAGCGAAACAACCACCUCAUAUCUAUACACACAUACAGGGCUGUGUGUAUACAGACACAGAAGGAACAACCGAACCGCCGCCACGCGAAGCCCGGCUCUGCCCGCUGGCGUUGGGGAGCAGGAGGGGAGUCGGCUCCCACCACCGAGCACGGCAGACCACCACCACAACCCCUCUCCUCCCCUCGCGGGGUGCAGCCGGGCCUCGCUCAGCCUCUCCGUGUGGCUGCGGCCAGAAAACACCGCACCGCUCUGCUUGUUCUCUCUUUGUUGCUGCGAGAUUUCUUCCCCCGACGCGCUCUGCUCUUCUCACCCGUGUGCUGGAAGGUCAAAUGGAGCUGUGGGAGGUUUCUGUACAUAGAUACAGCGCUCAGAGCCGGCGCCGGGUGGGACAGAUGUGCUGGGUGUUGGGUUUUUUUUGGCCUGCGUGAUGUUUGCCUCUUCCCUUUUCCACGUGGCUCCUAAGCGGCGCUACCACGGAGUAAGAAAGGUAAGGCGAAUUCAGCCAAAAAAAAAUCCAAAAAAAAAAACCAAAAAAAGGAGAAAAAAAAAAAAACCCCAAAAAGAAUAUAUAUAUUUAUAUAUAUAUAUAUAUAACCCUCUUCGAAAAGGAGAGGUACCGCCCGCGUCGGCGCAAGAACCGGAGUGGCUCCCAGCAGCUGAGCAACAGAAAGUCCAUCAGCACCGAAGCGAGGGGACGCGGCGCUGCUGGCGCGGACACACACAGCAAUACAGCAGGACAUCACUGGGACAGCUGCCUUACAGUACAAAAUACAGUACGAGUGUACGGCGCCGGGCGGACACGCAGGAAUUACUAUUGCUCCCGGGAGGGCGUCGGAAACCGAGUCCUUUCGUGAUGGAGGAGAGUUAAAAACAGGAAAACGGAAGAGAGUCCUGGUUAAAAAUUCCCUUCAAAAGGGGCGGCGGGGGGCGCGUGGGGACGGCCCCGCUGGGAUGAGCCGCCCUCGGCCGUGCCUCACUUCUGCCAAUAAAUACGGAGCAAACGGAGCGGGGCGGCCGGGAGAGGGAUGGAGACAAUAAAUUAAGAAGGCAGCUGAAAUGAGAGGGCGGGCGUGCGUGGUGUGAGACAGAACCGGAGGGACGACGACGGUCCUACGAGAGCCUGGGAGGCGUCACACAGCAAUAGCUGGAACUUUGGAAUGAACAGCGGGCUCCCAUUCAGUUCAAAGUUAGGAGUACGGCGUGUUGGCUUAAAAAAAACCCCGCUGUGCAGGGCGGGACUGAGCCGAUUGCUUUAAAAAAUAAAGACCAUUCGAGAGUGAAAAUCCAUUUAAUAACAGAGGAGAGCGCCGAGAGGCCCCGCUGUGCUCCGCGGCGGCAGGAGCCGCGCUGGCGGAACGUCGAGGUGGUCAUUAAGAAUAAUUAAAAAAGGGGGAGAGAGGACAAAAAAUUAAAAAAAAAAAAAAACCAAAAAGGGGGGGGAAAAAAAAAAAAAAAAAAUGAAAACCAAACCCAAAAAAAGGGGGGAGACGUGGCGGGGCUCCCAGCUCCCCCAGCCACCACACGUUGAGGUACUGAGGAGACGCGUUGAGUUCGUGUUAAAAACCCGCGCUCGGAGGAGGGAGAGGAGGAAGAAGAAGAGGAGCGGGGUGGGAUUUCUGCACCUGAGGUCGGCGGCACCGCGGCGUGGGGGAUCCCUGCGGCACCGCGGCCGUGUGCUUUGUGCUGCUGCCUUCUGCUGCUGCCUUCCUGCUGCUCGCCCUCUCUCUGCGACCCCCGUGGUCGAAAGAAAAGGAGAGGAAGGGGGGGGGGGGGGGGGAGAAAAAAAGCCAAAAAGGAGAAAAAAAGAAAAAAAAAAAAAGGAGGAAAAAAGAAAAAAAAAAAAAAGGAGGAAAAAAGAGCCCCGAAGCCAAACGAGGCCGUUCCUCACUCCUCACAAACCUGCCGGAUUCCCACCUGCUCGGCUGCGGGGUCCGGGUCGGCUGCCCGGAGUUCUGCAUCCCGGAAAACAACGCUGCGGAACGGAGGGGGGGAGAUGGGCUAAAUUCAAAAGGGAAAUCGAAGGAGACAAUGGACGUUGGUCCAGAGACGAACCCCUGCGUGGCAUCGCAUCGCAUCGUAUCGCAUCGCCUCUCGCGGCCGUGGGCUCCGGUGCAGACGCCGGGAUGCUGGUGGGGCAGUGCCGGCACGGAGAGGGGGCGGGAUGGAACGGGACAGGACGGGAGAGAAGAGAGCAAAGGAGAGGAAAGGAGAGGAGAGGACAGGAGGGGGGCCCGGCGGCCCCGAGGAGCGCAGAGUCCUCGUUGGAAGCGGGCUGAGGGCUGCGGGCGCUCCGUGCCCCGUCGGAAGGAGAGACGCGGGGGGGGCUGCGGUCGGGCCCGGCGCUCCCUCCGUGUCCGGCGGCGCG
rnacentral:lncRNA from 1 species